GGGCCGGUAGUUCAGCGGUAGAAUAGCAGAAGCUCUCAGAUCCGACUUGCACUCGGAAGGUCAGGGGUUCAAAUCCCCUCCGGUCCA
rnacentral:tRNA from 1 species